rnacentral:rRNA from 1 species
UACGUAGGGGGCUAGCGUUAUCCGGAAUUACUGGGCAUAAAGGGUGCGUAGGUGGUUUCUUAAGUCAGAGGUGAAAGGCUACGGCUCAACCGUAGUAAGCCUUUGAAACUGGGAAACUUGAGUGCAGGAGAGGAGAGUGGAAUUCCUAGUGUAGCGGUGAAAUGCGUAGAUAUUAGGAGGAACACCAGUUGCGAAGGCGGCUCUCUGGACUGUAACUGACACUGAGGCACGAAAGCGUGGGGAGCAAACAGG